AAAGGCUGGAUCACCUCCUUUCUGGCUGGAAUCCCCCCUUCUGGCCUGGACGCCUCCUUUGAAAUUGGACCACCCCCUUCUGCCUGGAGACCGCCAUUCUCCGGGAAACCGGACCUAAUACCGGAUAACAUUUUCUCUUGCAUAAGAGAAAAUUGAAAGAUGGUUUCGGCUAUCACUUACAGAUGGGCCCGCGGUGCAUUAGCUAGUUGGUGAGGUAACGGCUCACCAAGGCAACGAUGCAUAGCCGACCUGAGAGGGUGAUCGGCCACACUGGGACUGAGACACGGCCCAGACUCCUACGGGAGGCAGCAGUAGGGAAUCUUCCGCAAUGGACGAAAGUCUGACGGAGCAACGCCGCGUGAGUGAUGAAGGCUUUCGGGUCGUAAAACUCUGUUGUUAGGGAAGAACAAGUACAAGAGUAACUGCUUGUACCUUGACGGUACCUAACCAGAAAGCCACGGCUAACUACGUGCCAGCAGCCGCGGUAAUACGUAGGUGGCAAGCGUUAUCCGGAAUUAUUGGGCGUAAAGCGCGCGCAGGCGGUUUCUUAAGUCUGAUGUGAAAGCCCACGGCUCAACCGUGGAGGGUCAUUGGAAACUGGGGAACUUGAGUGCAGAAGAGAAAAGCGGAAUUCCACGUGUAGCGGUGAAAUGCGUAGAGAUGUGGAGGAACACCAGUGGCGAAGGCGGCUUUUUGGUCUGUAACUGACGCUGAGGCGCGAAAGCGUGGGGAGCAAACAGGAUUAGAUACCCUGGUAGUCCACGCCGUAAACGAUGAGUGCUAAGUGUUAGAGGGUUUCCGCCCUUUAGUGCUGCAGCUAACGCAUUAAGCACUCCGCCUGGGGAGUACGGUCGCAAGACUGAAACUCAAAGGAAUUGACGGGGCCCGCACAAGCGGUGAGCAUGUGGUUUAAUUCGAAGCAACGCGAGAUCCUUACCAGGUCUUGACAUCCUCUGACACUCUAAAGAUAGAGCGUUCCCCUUCCGGGGAAAGAGUGACAAGGUGUGCAUGUUGUCGUCACUCAUGUCCUGAAAUGUUGGGUAGUCCCGCAACGACCGCACCCUUGAAUCUUAAUGCCAGCAUUAGUU
rnacentral:rRNA from 1 species